rnacentral:misc_RNA from 1 species
GUCACCUUCCGAGUGGUGAGUUCGUUUUGGGUUUUCCAAAGUGAACGAUGAUCUGCGACGGCGUCSGUGACGACGUCGGUGACGGUGGGGUAGCAAGGAAAGUCGUGCSAUGGUUGGAUGUUGCUUCUCGUGAAAUGGCUUUGGAUCUCUUGUUUCGUUUGCUGAUGAUAUUCAUCAAUUGAGUAUUGUUAUGGCAGGUUGCUUGUCGAUCUUAGUUCAUCUUUGAUCUUAGUUUUAAGCUUAACUGGUAUUCAGGAGGCACACACUAUUGGUCUGAUUGUAUGGCAUGUUCUUGUUUGAUUGUUGCCUUACGAUUGGAUUGUUAGCGUAACCGAUGACAUGAAGCGACUUGUUAAUCUUAAAACUUGGAUAGCGAUUUGGCAUACUUGCAUUUGUUGAUGAAUGUUGUUGAAUGAUGAUGCAAGGGUUUCUUGGUUUGCGUUGUUGAUGACAUUCGUCUCAAAUUGAUGCGGUGUCAUGUUGCUUGGUGAUCCUAGUUUCAAGCUUGUUAAGCUUAUAACACAUGGGUUCCUGAUUGGUGACAGGGCAUUGCAUCUUUGGACAACGAAGGUCGUCUAAUGAUGUGAUGGUUUGUUUAUGUUGUUCUCGCAUCGUUCGGUGCAUUCUGGGGUCAUUAUGGCUACUGGCGGCUUGCCUGGCAAUUGAGCUUGGUGGGUGGCUGUUAGUCAGGUGGUUUUGGGGAUGUCUACCGUAAAGGUGCAUGAGUGGUGUUUGGUUUGUUACGGGUGGUUGGCUCUUUGCUUGCGCAACAACUUCCACCUGGCAUACCUCUUCAGUCUUGUGUCAAUGCUAGUAUUGCAUUGAAUGCACGGUGGUUUCUUGUGUUGCAUGCCUAAUUGAUGGUAUCUUUUGAUGAAUUGGUAUCCUUUUCGUCUUGUGUCGCACAUGCGAUGUGAGAUGAACCUUGAAGCAGCCUUUGUGAUUCACUCUUUCGGUGCAUACGCAUUGAUUUGGUGGCCCAUUGAGUGUUGCUUGGUCUCUUGGAUAUGGAACCUGGUGUGGGCAUGGAAUUUACGAGUUCCUUGUUUGCCCUAGUUUAGCUUUUCUAAUACGAUUGUCUGUCAUGUCUUGAUGUGAUAGGCUAUAUCG